GAUGAACGCUAGCGGCAGGCCUAACACAUGCAAGUCGAGGGGUAGAAGGAGCUUGCUCCUUUGAGACCGGCGCACGGGUGCGUAACGCGUAUGCAAUCUACCUUGUACAGGGGAAUAGCCCAGAGAAAUUUGGAUUAAUGCCCCAUAGUAUAUAACCUUCGCAUGUUGGUUAUAUUAAAGUUCCAACGGUACAAGAUGAGCAUGCGUCCCAUUAGUUAGUUGGUAAGGUAACGGCUUACCAAGACGAUGAUGGGUAGGGGUCCUGAGAGGGAGAUCCCCCACACUGGUACUGGGACACGGACCAGACUACUACGGGAGGCAGCAGUGAGGAAUAUUGGUCAAUGGUCGCAAGACUGAACCAGCCAUGCCGCGUGCAGGAAGACGGUCCUAUGGAUUGUAAACUGCUUUUAUACAGGAAGAAACCCUCCCACGUGUGGGAGCUUGACGGUACUGUAGGAAUAAGGAUCGGCUAACUCCGUG
rnacentral:rRNA from 1 species